rnacentral:rRNA from 1 species
UCGCGGCCUAUCAGCUUGUUGGUGGGGUAACGGCCCACCAAGGCUCCGACGGGUAGCUGGUCUGAGAGGACGACCAGCCACACUGGGACUGAGACACGGCCCAGACUCCUGCGGGAGGCAGCAGUGGGGAAUCUUGCGCAAUGGGCGAAAGCCUGAUGCAGCGACGCCGCGUGAGGGAUGACGGCCUUCGGGUUGUAAACCUCUUUCAGCAGGGAAGAAGCGAAAGUGACGGUACCUGCAGAAGAAGCACCGGCUAACUACGUGCCAGCAGCCGCGGUAAUACGUAGGGUGCGAGCGUUGUCCGGAAUUAUUGGGCGUAAAGAGCUUGUAGGCGGUUUGUCGCGUCUGCAGUGAAAAUCCGGGGCUCAACCCCGGACUUGCUGUGGGUACGGGCAGACUAGAGUGUGGUAGGGGGGACCGGAAUUCCUGGUGUAGCGGUGGAAUGCGCAGAUAUCAGGAGGAACACCGAUGGCGAAGGCAGGUCUCUGGGCCACAACUGACGCUGAGAAGCGAAAGCAUGGGGAGCGAACAGGAUUAGAUACCCUGGUAGUCCAUGCCGUAAACGUUGGGCGCUAGGUGUGGGGCUCAUUCCACGAGCUCCGUGCCGCAGCUAACGCAUUAAGCGCCCCGCCUGGGGAGUACGG